AUGCUGGAGAAGAUUGGACCUCUGGCUUACAAGUUGGAUUUCCCGACGGACAGCUGCGUGCACCCAGUCUUCCACGUCUCUGAGCUGAAGCCGUUCACGCUGGAUUACUCGUUGGUGUUCGCCGAGCUUCCCCGUGUCCAAGACCUGUCUGCUACGAUGAUAGAGCCUGUCAAGAUUCUGGAGAGGCACAUGAUGAAGCACGACGAUGCACCCGUGGUGUAGCUCAAGAUCCAGUGGUCGUCAUCGUCCUCGGACGCGGCCGCCUGGGAGGACUACGACGUGCUACGCCAGUGAUUUCCCACGGCUACCAUUAGGGACGGGGAGGCCUCGUCUUAA
rnacentral:rRNA from 1 species